rnacentral:rRNA from 1 species
ACCUGACCCCAUGCCGAACUCAGAAGUGAAACGCCGUAACGCCGAUGGUAGUGUGGGGAUUCCCCAUGUGAGAGUAGGUCACCGCCAGGU